rnacentral:rRNA from 1 species
UACAGAGGUCCCAAGCGUUGUUCGGAUUCACUGGGCGUAAAGGGUGCGUAGGUGGUGAGGUAAGUCGGAUGUGAAAUCUCCGAGCUCAACUCGGAAAUGGCAUUGGAAACUACCUUGCUCGAGGGUUGGAGGGGGACUGGAAUGCUUGGUGUAGCAGUGAAAUGCGUAGAGACUGCGGAGGAACACCGAUGGCGAAGGCAGCCCCCUCGGGCUGACACUGACGCUCAGGCACGAAAGCGUGGGGAGCAAACAGG